CCUUUUGGGUGUGAUUUUGUGGAGCGUGAGGAGUUAAACGCCCUCAUGCCUGCAUAUUCGUGCACUUUGGGUGUACUUGCCCGUGUGUAAGUUAACAUCAAUUUUGGUGGUCAUAAAAUGGCUGGAGGAAUGUAGCUUCGAUCUUGUAUUGAAGUGUUAUAGCCUUCGGUAGAUGUGACGAUCGGGAUUGAGGAUUGCAACGGAUACCCUUUGGGGCUACCUGUCUGACCUCUGAUUGUUGCUCUGGUGCCGAAAGCUUGCUUACGGUUAUCAAAGUCGAUGGUCAAUAGGUUAGAAUGGGUUAAAUUCGUUAAGG
rnacentral:rRNA from 1 species